GACGAACGCUGGCGGCGUGCUUAACACAUGCCAGUCGAACGGAAAGGCCCUGCUUUUGUGGGGUGCUCGAGUGGCGAACGGGUGAGUAACACGUGAGUAACCUGCCCUUGACUUUGGGAUAACUUCAGGAAACUGGGGCUAAUACCGGAUAGGAGCUCCUGCUGCAUGGUGGGGGUUGGAAAGUUUCGGCGGUUGGGGAUGGACUCGCGGCUUAUCAGCUUGUUGGUGGGGUAGUGGCUUACCAAGGCUUUGACGGGUAGCCGGCCUGCGAGGGGGACCUGCCACAUUGGGACUGAGAUACGGCCCAGACUCCUACGGGAGGCAGCAGUGGGGAAUAUUGCACAAUGGGCUGAAGCCUGAUGCAGCAACGCCGCGUGCGGGAUGACGGCCUUCGGGUUGUAAACCGCUUCCGCCUGUGACGAAGCGUGAGUGACGGUAAUGGGUAAAGAAGCACCGGCUAACUACGUG
rnacentral:rRNA from 1 species